rnacentral:rRNA from 1 species
CUCGUAGGUGGCCAACUAAGUCAAACGUGAAAUCCCUCGGCUUAACCGGGGAACUGCGUCUGAUACUGGAUGGCUAGAGAUUGGGAGAGGGAUGCGGAAUUCCAGGUGUAGCGGUGAAAUGCGUAGAUAUCUGGAGGAACACCGGUGGCGAAGGCGGCAUCCUGGACCAACACUGACGCUGAGGAGCGAAAGCCAGGGGAGCAAACGGGAUUAGAUACCCCGGUAGUCCUGGCCCUAAACGAUGAAUGCUUGGUGUGGCGGGUAUCGAUCCCUGCCGUGCCGAAGCUAACGCAUUAAGCAUUCCGCCUGGGGAGUACGGUCGCAAGGCUGAA